rnacentral:tRNA from 1 species
GCCGGUGUGAUGGAAUUGGCAGACGUGCUGGACUCAAAAUCCAGUGGUAGCAAUACCGUGCGGGUUCGACCCCCGCCACCGGCA